GUACCCUUUUGCGCUAGAUAUUCACAAUUUUUCUUUCUUGUAUCCAUAUGGUGUACUACUCUGAAAAACAUGGCUUAGCUUGUCCGUUUAGUAGAUUCAUUUUUUGUUUGCUGUUCCUUUUCAUGCCUUGUUGACUGUUCUGUUUUCUAAUUCUCUCUGUUUUAUCACUAUUAUGUUAUGAAAUUUAUUUACCUCAAGUUGGUUCAUUUCGCAUGUAUGGAGCUAAUAAAUUUGAUGGCCUUGUGCAAAUUUACAAAAUUAGAUUAGAAAUAUGGACAUCAUAUAACUUAAUGUAUUUGGGUAUGAGUGUGAUUUGUGUCUAUGUUGUCAUUUUUAGUUUUUGUGUCAGAGAACAUACAUAUUUAGAGUUAACUUAAUGCAUUUGACCUUGCACGAUGAGUUCAAAUAGACGUACGUACAAGGCUGAUCCAAAGAACAAAUUUAAAUAUUGAAAAAACAAGCUAAAUAUAUCUUGCGGUCUUUGUUUGCACUGUUGAUCUCCAUCUUCUUUUGUGGAUUAUAUGACCUCAUUUUUUCAUUUUAUUUUUAUUUUUAAAUUUGAUAUCUUUGUCAUGUUCAGCUUUAGUCUAGUGAUUUUAGCAUUUUAACUACAAUAUUUGAUGCAUUAGUUUUGUUCAGUUUUAGUCUCGUGUAAUGGCUACCAAUGCUGUGCUCCCUUACUCCUAUAAGCAUAUAUGUCUUGACUCGUGUGACUAAUAUUUGUGAUGUAUGAAUACCAAUCAUAUAUAAUCCCUCCGUCCCACAAAAAAUGUCCAUCUUUAGCUAUUGUAUUCUAUGCAUUGCUGCCAACUGCACCCAUAACACAGAUCUCUCAACAAGCCCAAGAGAAUGAUUUUUUAAUCCUUUGAUUUUGUAAAAUAAUCAAUGAUUCAACCAAUGAAGGAAUUAUCUUGGGCUUGUUGAGAGAUCUGUGUUAUGGUGGAGUUGGCAUCAAUGCAUAGAAUACAAUAGCUAUUUGGUAACAAGUCAUUAAUGGUUUGUAGCAAAUUGGAGUUUGCAACAAUACUGGAAUGAUAGGAUACAAUAACUAAAUGGUACGAGUAAUCAAUUGAUCCGUGAAAAAUUGGUUAUAUAUUUUAAACUUCAAGGAAGUGAAAUUGGAAACAAUCAUCUUUCCCUGUAGAUUUUGUUUCAAGAGAGGUUUUUAGCUUCAAAAGUUACAUUUUUGAAUGGAACAAAAGCACCAAUUUCCUACCCUUGUCAUUCUUUUUUAACUUUGCUGCUUCCUUGAAUAAGGGAUUGAUAAUAUCUUAAAAUCCUUUUUUAUUUGAAUGUUUCUUAAACUUGCUUAAUCAAAGGUAAUUUAAGUGCCAAAAUUCUAUGCCAUCUUAAUAGAAUAGAACAUAUAGCUUGUGAACAGUGACACUGUGGUAAAAAUGAAUAGUACUGAAGAGAGUUGGACCAAUUUGACAAACACACUGUUUUGGAGUUUUUGACUUGACAGUAUUUAUAUUAAGUAAUUCAAACUUUCGGUUUGUGGAACAAUAAUCAUGCUGUUUUGAUAGGGUAGGAAUGUCAUGAAUUAUAUAAAAUGAGAAAAAUGAUUUGGCAAAUGUUUUAAUGUUUAAACUAUUGCCUAUAAACUCUAAAUGGACAGUGAAAGGUUAGGAAUCUAUGGUUGCUAUCUUUGAAUUUGCGUGUAAUCCCUGGUAUGUGUGGUUUGUGUUGUGCAAUGAUCGAAAUGGGUGUAUGGAGAUGUGCACAAUUUGCAACAGUAUAAUGUAUAGUUCAUCUCUUGAUUAGUUAUAUCCGAAAGUGGUUGAACGUUGUAGGUUGAUGUGACUUUGUAAGAUGGCUGAACAUUUGUCGGUACUGUGGUAAAUGCUGAUUUACUUUCAGAUAUUGCUAUUGUGAAUAUCAAUUCUACACUUCCACUUCCAUCAGCAAAACUUGGUUCUUCAAGUAAGCUACGUCCGGGGGAAUGGGUGGUAGCUUUGGGCUGUCCCCUUUCCCUUCAAAACUCUGUUACAGCCGGUGUUGUCAGGAUUUUGAAGACAUGGCUCUUAGAACUCGAUUACUCAGUGGAAUGGACUUACAGUUGAUGAAACAUUCGAAAAAGGUUCAGUUUGGCAGUAAGAAUUAUAAAUUUGUAACUUCCUCAUGUAAUUCAUGGAUAGGAAAGUUGUACUUUAAGGUUUAUCUAUUUUAUUCUUUCAAGUCUUUAGCCUUUUGCUUAA